GUUGAACGCUAGCGGCAUGCCUAACACAUGCAAGUCGAACGGCAGCGCGAGGAGCUUGCUCCUUGGCGGCGAGUGGCGGACGGGUGAGUAACGCGUAGGAAUCUACCUUAUAGUGGGGGACAACCCGGGGAAACUCGGGCUAAUACCGCAUAAUCUCUACGGAGUAAAGAGGGCCUCUGUUUCAUGCUCUUGCUAUAAGAUGAGCCUGCGUCGGAUUAGUUUGUUGGUGGGGUAAUGGCCUACCAAGGCGACGAUCCGUAGCUGGUCUGAGAGGACGAUCAGCCACACUGGGACUGAGACACGGCCCAG
rnacentral:rRNA from 1 species